rnacentral:rRNA from 1 species
UUGUAAUUGGAAUGAUAGAAAUUUAAACCCUUUUUAAAGUAUCAAUUGGAGGGCAAGUCUGGUGCCAGCAGCCGCGGUAAUUCCAGCUCCAAUAGCGUAUAUUAAAAUUGUUGCAGUUAAAAAGCUCGUAGUUGAAGUUCUGCUGAAAGUAACCGGUCUGCUUUUAAUAAAAGUGGUAUCUUGGUAUGUAUUUAGCAAUGAUGUCCUUUGAAGUGUUUUUUACUUUAUUGUAAUAAAGCAUAUUCAGGACUUUUACUUUGAGAAAAUUAGAGUGUUUCUAGCAGGCYRACGCUUUGAAUACUGCAGCAUGGAAUAAUAAGAUAGGAUUUUAGUUCUACAUUAUUGGUUUUAAGAGCUAAAUUAAUGAUUGAUAGGGACAGUUGGGGGCAUUUGUAUUUAACUGUCAGAGGUGAAAUUCUUAGAUUUGUUAAAGACAAACUACUGCGAAAGCAUUUGCCAAAGAUGUUUUCAUUAAUCAAGAACGAAAGUUAGGGGAUCGAAGACGAUCAGAUACCGUCGUAGUCUUAACUAUAAACUAUGCCGACUAGAGAUUGGAGGUCG